GACGAACGCUGGCGGCGUGCUUAACACAUGCGAGUCGAACGGAAAGGCCCUGCUUUUGUGGGGUGCUCGAGUGGCGAACGGGUGAGUAACACGUGAGUAACCUGCCCUUGACUUUGGGAUAACUUCAGGAAACUGGGGCUAAUACCGGAUAGGAGCUCCUGCUGCAUGGUGGGGGUUGGAAAGUUUCGGCGGUUGGGGAUGGACUCGCGGCUUAUCAGCUUGUUGGUGGGGUAGUGGCUUACCAAGGCUUUGACGGGUAGCCGGCCUGAGAGGGUGGCCGGCCACAUUGGGAUUGAGAUACGGCCCAGACUCCUACGGGAGGCAGCAGUGGGGAAUAUUGCACAAUGGGCGGAAGCCUGAUGCAGCAACGCCGCGUGCGGGAUGACGGCCUUCGGGUUGUAAACCGCUUUCGCCUGUGACGAAGCGGGAGUGACGGUAAUGGGUAAAGAAGCACCGGCUAACUACGUG
rnacentral:rRNA from 1 species